UCAAUUCAAAGCAAAAGAAAAAAAAACACAUAUUAAGGAACAUUUCAGUGAAAAAAAAUAAUAAUUACAAACUAUUCCUGGCGUGGUUUUUACUGUUGUGUUUCUGUUGGACUUCUCACGAAGCCGGUUGCUUCCUAAUCCGUCCCUGUCUGCAGAAGGUAGAAACCUGCCAGACGAAGCCGGAUUCGCAGUCGAUCUAAAUUCCCGACAGCUUGGACUGAAAACCUGCCAGCAGAAGGUUUAAAGUCCAUGUUUGAUGUGAUGAUUGAAACCACAUCGCCUCAAAACCGGCGAACGAUUCUCCGCUGGAUACGAGAAGGCAAGUUCGAAACGACGACACGCCAAGCGCCUCUGUAACGUGCCAAACAAAUAUCUGUUGUAAUCUCGACUCUGUAAAGAAAGGCAUGAGUUUUUGUGUGUCUAAAUGAAUAAAACAAAUAGGAUUCUUACAGUUCCCCCCGCCCAUCUCUCUUUUUAACUGGAUCUGGAUAAUUAAAAGCCAAGUUUCAGCUACUGCAAAGUUUCCAACGUGCAAUAAUAACUCAGAGCAGCGGGAAGCUCCUCCCAUAUGGUGCUCCCAGCAGGAUCAAGCAAACACAACUUCUGUUUGGCAGCAAUUCUGUGCAUCACAUCCCACACGCUGUACAGCAGCUUCCGUCUGAGUUCAAUGCAAAAUACAGCAGCAGCAGCAGGCAAAAACCUCCCCUCUAAAGAGAUGGAUUUCGACUGGGUUAAUCCUGCGGAGUAUCGGCAGAAAACAUUCUCCUGAGCAGCAAUGCUGAAAGACACCUCAAGGCGUUCUUCCUUACUUUUCUCAAAAUGAAUGGUCUGUAGAAUAAUUUUAAUGCUAGGGCAAAAAAAAAAAACAAAAACAAAAACUAAAAAAAUGUAUCCUUUAAAUCAGAGAUGAUGUCGUUCUUCAGUGCGUUUAAGGUGUUGCAUUUGAUAAAAUUCAUAGUUUUAAAGUCAUGCAGGACAAAAAUGUAGCAAACGUUUGCUGCAAAAACUUAAUAUAAAUGUUUAGCACAAGUUUGAAGCCACUGCCGUCAAAAACAAACAGCAUCGCACUAGUUUUCCCAUGAUCCUCUCUGACUGAUAAUCAUCUUGUCAAACACUGAAAAAUCGGAUUAUUUUCUUAUUCGUCUCUUCGGCAUUUAAGCGGAAAAAGUGUAAUUUUGUUUGGAGUAUAAAGUUAUGCUCCAUGUUUGUUAUUUUUUCAUAAUUCCUAGAAGGCAAAUCUAAAUCAGCAAGUCAAGGUAUGUGUAAAUAAACCCAGAAAUUGGUAUCAAUUGGUAUGAGAGGAGAGGAUGCUAAAUAUUUAGCUUGGUGAAGUUUGCACAGAGAACAUCUUAAUAAAGUCGUAUCCAUUUUAUUAUUAAAAUAAACUAGGUUUAAAUUUACGAAUCCGUAGGAAAUCUAUUUGUUCUAACAUUUUUUUUAAUCACUCCUCUGCAUCGCGUGGUUGAAAUGAGUUCAAUAAACCUGAUUAUUUCAUCUCAGCUCUCAAAUUCUUGUUUUAACAUUAAAAGAUUCACACUUCACAACAAUAAAACAAACAAACAAACAAAAAAAACAGUCCUUUGGUUAAAAAUUAAUGCAGACACGCGUUAAAACGUGGCACCAAAUGAGAAAGAAAAGUCAUUUUCAAAAGCUUCAGGGAUAAAAGUCAGAACAUUUUUCAUGUAGGUAAAUAUUUCUCUUCAGAUUUUUGUUUAUUUUAUUUUGCAGACUAACACAAAGUUAAAUUCAGCGGGAUGCGAGUUUCAGCAGCGAUGAUAAAACGAUGUUUGCUGCUCAGUGUGGUGUGUCUCCACUUUUCUACCCAUUUCUCUCCAUCACAUAAAUCAGCGACUCAUGCAGCCGUAUCUCUUCUUCCUCCUCCUCCCGGUCGCUCUGCUCAUCCCCUCCGCCUCACUCCGCUGGCUUUUAUUAGGACUGUAGAUGGAGAAAGCAGAAGUCUCUGCAGAAAAAGCAUGCACACAGACGGGGUAAAGGGGUGCGUUGCCAUGUGUGAGGGCAAAACGCGUGUUACGUUUACAGACUGUCGGGAACUCGCGCUCUGAGAGCAGAAAGAAGCACAUUCACCUGAAACUCGGAGCCGGGAGGUCAAAGCGCCAGGUGAGGGUCAAAGUCAGGUCUGUUGCACCGCAUUUUCCGGUUCGGCGAGCGUCCACCAAACACCCAUUACGAACGUGUGUGUGUGUGUGUGUUUGUGGAGGCCGUCUCUGUGUCAUUAAUCUGUUUGCGCGCCUAGGAAUCGGACAGCGGCACGGUUAAAACCCAAACAGUCAGACGGCUUCCUGCGCAGCGGGAGUCGGUGUGUGUCUUGUGUGCUGAAGAGCUGGUGUGAGGCGAAAGCCUUUCUGAAGGACACAGGUUCAGAUAAAAAAAAAAGAAAAGAAAAAAAGGCCUCCGGUAUGCAAUCGCGUCCCUGAAGUAGGCGGAGAGGAAAAUAAACCACUUGCACAAGAUAACAGGCACCGUUUAGUCUGCAUGUGGAAGAAGAUAGAGAGCGAAUGGAGGAGGAGGCGAGUGGAAACCAGAGGAGAGGAUACGAUAAUAUGCAGAGGUACAUAUGGCGCUGGUGUUCAUAAAAGUUUUAAUAGAGCUGAGGUCGCGGUCAUUCCAGAAGCUUGAUGUUUUAGCCAUACCAAAACCAGUUCCGAUGUGCGUUUUGGAUGAGUUUUCUGUAAAAAAAAA